rnacentral:rRNA from 1 species
GUGGGGAAUUUUGGACAAUGGGCGAAAGCCUGAUCCAGCAAUGCCGCGUGUGUGAAGAAGGCCUUCGGGUUGUAAAGCACUUUUGUCCGGAAAGAAAUCCUUGGCUCUAAUACAGUCGGGGGAUGACGGUACCGGAAGAAUAAGCACCGGCUAACUACGUGCCAGCAGCCGCGGUAAUACGUAGGGUGCAAGCGUUAAUCGGAAUUACUGGGCGUAAAGCGUGCGCAGGCGGUUUGCUAAGACCGAUGUGAAAUCCCCGGGCUCAACCUGGGAACUGCAUUGGUGACUGGCAGGCUAGAGUAUGGCAGAGGGGGGCUAGAAUUUCCACGUGUAGCAGUGAAAUGCGUAGAGAUGUGGAGGAAUACCGAUGGCGAAGGCAGCCCCCCUGGGCCAAUACUGACGCUCAUGCACGAAAGCGUGGGGAGCAAACAGGAUUAGAUACCCUGGUAGUCCACGCCCUAAAACGAUGUCAACUAGUUGUUGGGGAUUCAUUUCCUUAGUAACGUAGCUAA